rnacentral:lncRNA from 1 species
UGCACAUCUUUAAGAAGAACUUUUUUUCUCUGACUUUUCAUGAUGAAAAUUAAAUCUAAUCUAAUUUUUUAUAUUAAAAAUAAUAUAAAUUUUUAUGUUCUAAAAAAAUUUAAAAGAGAGAUCCAAGAGAAGAACCGUUCUUCUCUCUUCUUCUCCCUUUUUCUCCUUGAUCUAGAACUCUAGGAAACUCCAAAUAUCCAACCAAAUUUUUUUAGUAUUUCUUUCCUAAAUUUUUAUAUUAAAAAUCAAAUCCAAUCUAAUUUUCAUCCUAGAAAAAAAUAGAAAAAAAAUCUAAAAAAUAAACUUCUCUAAGGCUGCGCACAAGAAAGAUGACCCUUCUUCUUCCUUCUCUUUUUCUCGUUGGGAAGAACUUUUCUUCUCCAAUUUUUUGCUGUACAACCAGCAAGAGAAGUCCUCUUUGAUACUCAAAAAUCAACAAUCAAACCCUCACAAAAUUACUCCA